GGGUGGUUAGCUCAGUUGGUUAGAGUACUUGCUUGACAUGCAAGGGGUCAUAGGUUCAAAUCCUAUACCACCCA
rnacentral:tRNA from 1 species